rfam:Brassica napus, WGS project CCCW01000000 data, contig: 4473
GGAAUAUAAGAAACUGUCUCUUAACUUUUAACUAAAAAAACUAAGAACCGGUUCUUAAAUUAAGAGCCGGUUCUUAGCUUUUGUGUUAAAAGUUAAUAGACGGUUUCUUAUAUUCC